ACGACCUUACUUGAACAGGAUCUGUUCUAUAGGCUCGUACCACCGUAUUCUUAAAUUCUAAGAAGACAGGAAUCCAAGUCUGGUUGAUGAAGCAUGGCCAUGUGACUAGAGCGUGAUUAACAGCCUUCCAUAGCUCCUUGAUGUGGAUGCCGUAGAUGAUCGUUCUUAGACCUGGAGAUCUUGGGUCUAAGUUGGUCUCAUGGCUGUCUGACAGACU
rfam:Solanum lycopersicum cultivar Heinz 1706 chromosome 6, whole genome shotgun sequence.